rnacentral:rRNA from 1 species
GCCGUAAACGAUGAGUGCUAAGUGUUAGAGGGUUUCCGCCCUUUAGUGCUGAAGUUAACGCAUUAAGCACUCCGCCUGGGGAGUACGGCCGCAAGGCUGAAACUCAAAGGAAUUGACGGGGGCCCGCACAAGCGGUGGAGCAUGUGGUUUAAUUUGAAGCAACGCGAAGAACCUUACCAGGUCUUGACAUCCUUUGACAACCCUAGAGAUAGGGCUUUUCCUUCGGGAGCAGAGUGACAGGUGGUGCAUGGUUGUCGUCAGCUCGUGUCGUGAGAUGUUGGGUUAAGUCCCGCAACGAGCGCAACCCUUGAUUUUAGUUGCCAUCAUUUAGUUGGGCACUUUAAGGUGACUGCCGGUGACAAACCGGAGGAAGGUGGGGAUGACGUCAAAUCAUCAUGCCCCUUAUGACCUGGGCUACACACGUGCUACAAUGGACGGUACAAAGAGCUGCAAGACCGCGAGGUGGAGCUAAUCUCAUAAAACCGUUCUCAGUUCGGAUUGUAGGCUGCAACUCGCCUACAUGAAGCUGGAAUCGCUAGUAAUCGCGGAUCAGCCUGCCGCGGUGAAUACGUUCCCGGGCCUUGUACACACCGCCCGUCA